rfam:Salmo salar isolate Sally breed double haploid chromosome ssa19, whole genome shotgun sequence.
UGCAAUCACUACUGUAAGUCGCUCUGGAUAAGAGCGUCUGCUAAAAUGACUAAAA